GAGAACUCAUUUUAUUUUUGGAAUGACUGCUUUUGCUCUGAAAGCCAUGGCAGUUCUUCUGGCAUUCCUGGAAAGCCCAUGAGUAACAUCCAAGCCCUAACCCUUAGUGUCUGAUCCCAUCAAGAUGCAGAAUCCUUCCCUGGAUGAAUCAGGGUUGUUUUUCACUGGGCAGAACCACAGGCAUUGGAUACAGGACACACCAGCCUGGAUUUUCCCUCUGGGACAUGGCAUAGGAGACUUCUCCAACUCACUGUCACAUAGUCAGGAAACAGUGAUGGCAACCAACUGCCCUGCCCUAAUGCCAGACUCCAAAUCCCUUCCCUCACUGCUGAAUUUAUACACAUUUUUCACUUCCAUAAAAACAUCUUCACCCAUAAUGCCAGAGAAUUGUCACGAUCUUUCUUUCCUAAUGAUCACUUUUCCUCUGAAAUUCCUAAGA
rnacentral:lncRNA from 12 species